UAGUGCUCUUGCUGUGACCCUAUAUGUCCUGUUGAUGAAGUUAGGUGCUGUUCUGAGCAUUAUUUGUGGCGUUUUGGUUGAGGUUUGUUUAUGGCUCCUCAGACCGCUGUGUAUUGCUAUCCUGCGGUCGUUACUAAAGUUGGUAUAACUAGAGAAGGAAGUGGUCAGCAACAAUCAUCUCUCAGGGGGGUGUCUGACUCUGUGUUA